UUAGCCCUGCAUUUGGCUUGAAGAUACUGGUGGCCUGGUACACUUCCCCUAAACUUUCCUGUGACUGAUGGCCUACACCUCAUCCCAGGCUACUGCCUAGCAGUAGCAGCUUCUUCUUCGUAACAUUUUGUAUAUUCUUAGGGUUUUUCUCCUCCGUUGAAGUGUGCUGCACAUUUCCUGCUCCUCGUUCUGCAGAAGGGCUGUGACACCAGAUUGUGAUCAAAGCCGUCUCCGUAUAUCCUGCUGUUUGGAUUUUUGAUGGGGUGACCUAGAAUUGAUAGUGACUUACCUUACUGGGAAUUUAGUGGUUGUGAUGUUCAUGAUGUAUUGGAUUUUGGUGACAAGUGUGAUGAAACUACUGAAAGAGCUGAAUCUUCUCAGAAUCGUCAAAUAAGCAGCAGUGAUGAAUUUAAUUUGUGAACUUGGCCAGGUCACAAAACCAAAUAUAAUGUUGUUGAGAAAAUAUUCAGGCCAGGAGACGCUGUCUGGGGACGUUCAUCCACCUGACACAAGUUUGUUCGAUGCCACUCCAAUGACUUGUGCAUCUCUGGGAUGAGGAUUAGAUGAAAUUGUUAGAACAGCACAAACAUCUCGUCCCUGAGUGAAGAAAAUCUGUCAACUGGCCAGGAAUCGAGCCCGGAACUUCACCAUGUAGAGGCAGCAAUGUUAACAACUAGCUGUGGAAAACUGUAAGGCCCAGCAUUUGUGGGAGAAAUGGUAUGAUGGAGGAUACCUUAGCCAGAGCCCAGAUAUUGUGAACUGAGAGAGAACUUGUGAAUAUGCCAGUCUUGUUCAGUGUGGUAUGGGAAACAGCCAUUGUCAAGAUUGAGGUUAAAUCUUUUUAUUGAGUAAAUCAGAUGUGUUUGUCUGGAGGGAACAUUGCUUGUGAAAACCAAUGGUCCAGUAUUGAGCCUUGGCCAGUUGCAAAUGGUAAUUAGCAGGCAAGGUCUUCACCACAUUCAAAUUAUUACAGCGCCUUCUGUCAUGUAAAAGACUUGCCACAAACUGUGGUUAAUUGACCAGUUUGGGCAAAUCCUUUAUGUGUUGGGAGGUGCUAAAGUUGCGUUUAUAUCAAAAUGAAGAAGAGUGAUGUGAUUUUAGUUAAAUGAACUGUAGCUACUUGGAAUAGAAGUUGCAAGUUGUAUGUAAACAAUACAUUGUAUUUUUAACAUACUUAACCGAUAUAGUUUGUUUCAUAGUAAUGAAAAGAGCUGCAAAAUUUAUACGUACAUACAUAAAGCAUCCUCCAAGUGUCUGGGAGGAGCUGCAGUUAAGCCCCUCCCUUCCUCCCACACACACAGUAUCCAGGCUGACCUAGUACAGACAACUUGUAAGGCAGAGAAGCAACAAGGAAGUUGAAGCCAAGUUUCAAUGUAAUGCAUUCCACAUGCCUGUAGUGGCUUGUGAAGCAAUGUUUAUUUCUACUUCCAGAACAGUCAACAUGAAGUGCAUUUUGUGUGUCAGAAUACUAAAUAUUUGUCUUUUAAUUUUGAAUGUAAUCUCUGUCAAGUAGUAUGUAGUAUUAAUUGUGAAGACAUUUAAAAGCAGUUGACAGACUGGUUUUUGUUUCUACAUAUUUGUUUGAACCAAGUGGCAUACAGGAUGACAUCUGUUUAGAGACAGUGAAAAUGCACUUGUGAAGAGGAUUUUUUGUACAGCAUACCUUGGUAUCCGAAGGAUUUCCCACAGACUGCAAAUAAGAGUUCAGUCUUGGGAGGUCCUUUGGUUAUGAGUGUGUGCUCAGGUGACACUUGUAAGUGAAGGAAAGUCAACUUCUGGUUUUUCUGGAUUUCUUGAAGUAUUCGUGUUCUGACUACUGAUCAGUGGUUAGUGUCACAGUAUUAUUUCUGUAUUCAGCCUUAAAUUGCUCUGCAUCAUGAAUGGCAAUAAAAUGGUUGUAAUUGCUCA
rnacentral:lncRNA from 1 species